AUGCUGCUCUCCAUCCUUUCUCUCCUAGCACUGCUUGUAGGAGACUCAUCAGCACAGACAAUUCAGCCACUUGCAGGGGAACUGCAUGUUUCAGAGGGUGAUAAUGUUACUCUCUCCUGCAACUACAGUACCACUAAUUUUGGUGAUGCUAUUCAGUGGUAUCGUCAGUUUCCCAAAUCCAGACCAGAGUUUCUUUUGUACAUUUACAUACAAGGGACUAAGAGUGAUCCUCUUCCUCCUCGCAUGUCUGCUGAAAUGGAUAAAGACAACAAGCGUGUGGAUCUGUUGAUCUCCUCUGCUGCAAUAUCAGACUAUGCACUCUACUACUGUGCCCUGUAG